GCCGGGGUGUCAGAGUGGUCAAAUGAACAGCCCUUAAGAGGCUGUGGCUUAGUGCCUACGCAGGUUCGAAUCCUGUCCCCGGCA
rnacentral:tRNA from 1 species